CAAAGAUACCAUAUUCUCAAAGCUGCCGCUGUCGAUGAUCACCAAGCAUACUUUGCCAAGAGAAGUGCAUUUAGUAUGAAACACAUUUUUUCUCACCCAACUUUCAUUGUUGGCCACAUAUGACACUUGUAAACUACGUUGCAAUACAAUAGACAAACCAUGAUCAGCAUAAGUAAUCUCUUCCUCAUCAUCAUCGUCUUUUGGUUCGUCAUCAGUUUCAUCUUCUCCUCCAUCACUAUGAUCUUCAACCAAAGUUACAAUCCUCCUAUUUGGACAAUCUGAUGCGAUAUGCCCAAAACCAUGACAUUUGAAGCAUUUUCGGCCACUUGGGGUAGAAGAAUUAGGUGUUUUUUUGCUGCCAGCAGAUUCUUCACCCUUUUCUUGCACCUUCGAUAUCACCUUGCUUUG
rnacentral:lncRNA from 1 species